GCAAGUCGAACGGGAUUGCUGGUGCUUGCACUAGCAUGAGAGUGGCGAACGGGUGAGUAACACGUAGUUGAUCUGCCUUUUAGUUGGGGAUAGCCUAUGGAAACAUAGGGUAAUACCGAAUACACUCUUUACGCCUUGGUGUUUAGAGGAAAGAUCCGUUUGGAUCGCUGAAAGAUGAGACUGCGGCUGAUUAGCUUGUUGGUGGGGUAAUGGCCUACCAAGGCGACGAUCAGUAGCCAACCUGAGAGGGUGACC
rnacentral:rRNA from 1 species